UACGUAGGGGGCUAGCGUUGUCCGGAUUUAUUGGGCGUAAAGAGCGUGUAGGCGGCCAGGUAGGUCUGCUGUGAAAACUCGAGGCUCAACCUCGAGACGUCGGCGGAAACCAUCUGGCUAGAGUCCGGAAGAGGAGAGUGGAAUUCCUGGUGUAGCGGUGAAAUGCGCAGAGUAUCAGGAAGAACACCCGUGGCGAAGGCGGCUCUCUGGGACGGUACUGACGCUGAGACGCGAAAGCGUGGGGAGCGAACAGG
rnacentral:rRNA from 1 species